rnacentral:rRNA from 1 species
UACGAAGGGGGGCUAACGUUUGCUCGGAAUCACUGGGCGUAAAGCGCACGUAGGCGGAUUUGUUUAAGUCAGGGGGUGAAAUCCCUGGGAGCUCAACUCCAGAACUGCCUUUUGAUACUGGCGAUCUUGAGUCCGGGGAGAGGUGAGUGGGAACUGCGAGUGUAGAGGUGAAAUUUCGUAGAUAUUCGCAAGAACACCAGUGGCGAAGGCGGCUCACUGGCCCGGGUACUGACGCUGAGGUGCGAAAGCG